GAGGAAUUUUGCGCAAUGGGGGAAACCCUGACGCAGCAACGCCGCGUGAGUGAUGAAGGCUUUCGGGUCGUAAGGCUCUGUCAAGUGGAAAGAAACUGCCAUAUGCAAAUACCAUGUGGCACUGACGGUACCACUGAAGGAAGCACCGGCUAACUCCGUGCCAGCAGCCGCGGUAAUACGGGGGGUGCUAGCGUUAUUCGGAAUCAUUGGGCGUAAAGGGCGCGUAGGCGGUCGUUUAAGUCGGAUGUGAAAGCCCUCGGCUUAACCGGGGAAGUGCAUUUGAUACUAGACGACUUGAGUAUGGGAGAGGGAAGCGGAAUUCCUGGUGUAGCGGUGAAAUGCGUAGAUAUCAGGAGGAACACCGGUGGCGAAGGCGGCUUCCUGGACCAAUACUGACGCUGAGGCGCGAAGGCGUGGGGAGCAAAC
rnacentral:rRNA from 1 species